UAUGGAGAGUUUGAUCCUGGCUCAGAGUGAACGCUGGCGGCGUGCCUAAUACAUGCAAGUCGAACGGACAAGUAAGAGCUUGCUCUUAUGAGUUAGUGGCGCACGGGUGAGUAAUGUAUAGUUAAUCUGCCCUACACUGGAGGACAACAGUUAGAAAUGACUGCUAAUACUCCAUACUCCUUCUUAACACAAGUUAAGUCGGGAAAGUUUUUUCGGUGUAGGAUGAGACUAUAUUGUAUCAGCUAGUUGGUGAGGUAAUGGCUCACCAAGGCUAUGACGCAUAACUGGUCUGAGAGGAUGAUCAGUCACACUGGAACUGAGACACGGUCCAGACUCCUACGGGAGGCAGCAGUAGGGAAUAUUGCUCAAUGGGGGAAACCCUGAAGCAGCAACGCCGCGUGGAGGAUGACACUUUUCGGAGCGUAAACUCCUUUUGUUAGGGAAGAACAAUGACGGUACCUAACGAAUAAGCACCGGCUAACUCCGUGCCAGCAGCCGCGGUAAUACGGAGGGUGCAAGCGUUACUCGGAAUCACUGGGCGUAAAGGACGCGUAGGCGGAUUAUCAAGUCUUUUGUGAAAUCUAAUGGCUCAACCAUUAAACUGCUUGAGAAACUGAUAAUCUAGAGUGAGGGAGAGGCAGAUGGAAUUGGUGGUGUAGGGGUAAAAUCCGUAGAGAUCACCAGGAAUACCCAUUGCGAAGGCGAUCUGCUGGAACUUAACUGACGCUAAUGCGUGAAAGCGUGGGGAGCAAACAGGAUUAGAUACCCUGGUAGUCCACGCCCUAAACGAUGUAUACUAGUUGUUGCUGUGCUAGUCAUGGCAGUAAUGCACCUAACGGAUUAAGUAUACCGCCUGGGGAGUACGGUCGCAAGAUUAAAACUCAAAGGAAUAGACGGGGACCCGCACAAGCGGUGGAGCAUGUGGUUUAAUUCGAAGAUACGCGAAGAACCUUACCUGGGCUUGAUAUCCUAAGAACCUUGUAGAGAUACGAGGGUGCUAGCUUGCUAGAACUUAGUGACAGGUGCUGCACGGCUGUCGUCAGCUCGUGUCGUGAGAUGUUCGGUUAAGUCCGGCAACGAGCGCAACCCACGUAUUUAGUUGCUAACAGUUCGGCUGAGCACUCUAAAUAUACUGCCUUCGUAAGGAGGAGGAAGGUGUGGACGACGUCAAGUCAUCAUGGCCCUUAUGCCCAGGGCGACACACGUGCUACAAUGGCAUAUACAAUGAGACGCAAUAUCGCGAGAUGGAGCAAAUCUAUAAAAUAUGUCCCAGUUCGGAUUGUUCUCUGCAACUCGAGAGCAUGAAGCCGGAAUCGCUAGUAAUCGUAGAUCAGCCAUGCUACGGUGAAUACGUUCCCGGGUCUUGUACUCACCGCCCGUCACACCAUGGGAGUUGAUUUCACUCGAAGCCGGAAUACUAAACUAGUUACCGUCCACAGUGGAAUCAGCGACUGGGGUGAAGUCGUAACAAGGUAACCGUAGGAGAACCUGCGGUUGGAUCACCUCCUUUCUA
rnacentral:rRNA from 1 species